CGGGUGCGUAACGCGUGGGAAUCUACCUUGUAGUGGGGGAUAGCCCGGAGAAAUCCGGAUUAAUACCGCAUAAUCUCUACGGAGCAAAGUGGGGGAUCUUCGGACCUCACGCUAUUAGAUGAGCCCGCGUUAGAUUAGCUUGUUGGUGAGGUAAUGGCUCACCAAGGCUACGAUCUAUAGCUGGUUUGAGAGGAUGAUCAGCCACACUGGGACUGAGACACGGCCCAG
rnacentral:rRNA from 1 species